rnacentral:rRNA from 1 species
UAAUACUCCAUAGUUCAUGGAAUCUGGAAUGAUCCAUGGAUGAAAGUUCCGGCGCUUAAGGAUCGGUCUGCGGCCUAUCAGGUCGUAGUGGGUGUAACGUACCUACUAGCCUAUGACGGGUAUGGGCCUUGAGAGAGGGAGCCCAGAGUUGGAUUCUGAGACACGAAUCCAGGCCCUACGGGGCGCAGCAGUCGCGAAAACUUCACAAUGGGGGCAACCCCGAUGAGGGAAUUCCUAAUGCUAGCACAUUUGUGUUAGCUUUUCUUUAGCGUAGAUAACUAGAGGAAUAAGGGCUGGGAAAGACGGGUGCCAGCCGCCGCGGUAAUACCUGCAGCCCAAGUGGUGGUCGAGUUUAUUGAGUCUAAAACGUUCGUAGCCGGUUCGGUAAAUCUUUGGGUAAAUCGGGGGGCUUAACCUUCCGACUUCCGAGGAGACUGCCGAACUUGGGACCGGGAGAGGCUAGAGGUACUUCUGGGGUAGGGGUAAAAUCCUGUAAUCCUAGAAGGACCAGCGGUGGCGAAGGCGUCUAGCUAGAACGGAUCCGACGGUGAGGGACGAAGCCCUGGGUCGCAAACGGGAUUAGAUACCCCGGUAGUCCAGGGUGUAAACGCUGCAGACUUGGUGU